rnacentral:rRNA from 1 species
AGAUUGAACGCUGGCGGCAGGCCUAACACAUGCAAGUCGAGCGGUAGAGAGGUGCUUGCACCUCUUGAGAGCGGCGGACGGGUGGGUAAAGCCUAGGAAUCUGCCUGGUAGUGGGGGAUAACGCUCGGAAACGGACGCUAAUACCGCAUACGUCCUACGGGAGAAAGCAGGGGACCUUCGGGCCUUGCGCUAUCAGAUGAGCCUAGGUCGAUUAGCUAGUUGGUGAGGUAAUGGCUCACCAAGGCGACGAUCCGUAACUGGUCUGAGAGGAUGAUCAGUCACACUGGAACUGAGACCACGGUCCAGACCUCCGUACGGGAGGCAGCGAGGUGGGAAUAGUGGAACAAGUGGGACGAAAGCCUAGACUCCGAGUCCAUCGCCGCGUGUGUAGAAGAAGGUCUUACGGAUUAG